CCUCCAGCUCCCUCUUAUCCUAGAUGACAUAUUUGACAAACUUUUCAGCAAUUAUGUCCACAAACUAGAACAUAAGUCCUCCUCAAUGGCCUCUUUCAAUUCACCUCUUUUUUAAACAUGUCACAAGUGUUUCACCAAACCCUUCCAUCAUCAUGUGAAUAAAAUUUUCAAAUUGAUCUCAGCUCCAACAUACCUGAAUUGGAGAUUUUAAUGACUUUAACUCUUCCUGUUUUCUCUUCUUUCAGGACACCAGCCUGCAAAAUCAUUUCCUGAGACGAUCUGCUUGAACUACCAAGAAAACCCUUAAAUAUUCAGAAUAAAGGAAGAAUGUGACAGCAUAAGCCAAGAUAUUCUGAUGAUCUAUUGGAAAAUCCAAGAGGGGAUCAUACUGCUGUCAUCCAAACAACCCUACAGGGAUCAGGAAGAAGCUUAAAAUUCCUAGGAACUCUGAGUUUACAGGAGUAGAGAAACACAACCAGAAUUUAGGUAUUCAUAUGUGCAUGUUUUCACUAGGUUGAAAUUAAGAUUGC
rnacentral:lncRNA from 1 species